AUGGCAGGGACGGCGGUGAGCAUGGCGAGGUCCAUGCUGGGGGGUGCCAUGUCCAAGGCCGCCUCUGCCGCCGCCGCCGAGAUGAGCUUGUUGAUGGGUGUGCGAAAGGAUAUCUGGUUCAUUAAAGAUGAGCUAGAGACGAUGCAGGCAUUUCUGCUGACUGCCGAAGCGAUUAAGAUGAAAGACAUUCUGCUGAAGGUGUGGGCGAAGCAGGUGAGAGACUUAUCGUACAAUAUUGAAGAUUGCCUUAGUGAAUUCAUGGUGCAUGUGACAAGCCAAAGCUUGUCGCGGCGGCUGAUGAAGCUCAAAGACCGCCAUCAGAUCGCCAUGCAGAUCCGUGACCUCAAACUCAGAGUUGAAGAAGUAAGCAUUAGGAAUACACGCUACAACUUGAUCAAGACGGAGGCCUCCAACAGCGUUGGGGAGGUGGAUUCCUACAGGGAAGAUGUCCGCAAUCACGCGGCUAGCAACAUUGAUGAAGCAGAACUUGUGGGCUUUUCCAAGCCUAAGGAGGAGUUGAUAAACCUGAUGGAUGUCAACACUGAAGAUGGUUCUCCCAAGGUAAUAUGUGUUGUCGGCAUGGGUGGUUUAGGAAAGACUACUCUUGCAAGGAAGACAUAUGAAAGUAAGGAAGAUAUUGUGCAAAAAUUCUCUUGUGUUGCUUGGAUCACAGUAUCACAUUCAAUUUUCAAGAUAGAGAUGCUCAAGGAUAUGAUCAGACAACUUUUGGGACCCGAGUCACUGAAGAAAUGCUUGAAAGAACUUAAAGGGAAGGCAGUGCAAGUGGGUGACCUCUCCAAGUACCUCAUGGAAGAGCUCAAGGAUGAAAGGUAUUUUAUUGUUUUUGAUGACUUGUGGACCAUAGAUAUGUGGAGGUGGAUCCAAGAAUUUGCUGUUGCUAGCAAUAAUAGGAAAGGCAGUCACAUAGUAGUAACAACACGAGAUAUGGGCUUAGCUAAGGAGUGUUCUCGUGACUCACAUAUCUACCAACUCAAACCUCUACAACCAGUUGAUGCUGCAAAUUUGUUACUAAGAAAGAGUAGGAAAAGGCAGGAAGACAUGGAGAGAGAUGGGAACAUAGUUGAAAAAUUAGUUAAAAAGUGUGGUGGUUUACCAUUGGCUAUACUCAUGGUAGGUGGCGUCCUUGCCACAAAAAAGGUAGCUGAAUGGAGACAAUUUUAUGAUCAUCUCCCUUCAGAGCUUGAGACUAACCCCAGCCUUGAAGCAAUGAGGAGGAUGGUUACUCUGAGCUACAACCACCUACCAUCUCAUCUAAAGUCGUGCUUUUUGUACCUAAGCAUCUUCCCUGAGGAUUUUGAAAUUAAGAGAAGGCCUCUAGUAGAUAGAUGGAUAGCUGAGGGGUUCAUCAAAGCUAGGGGUAGGGUAAACAUCGAGGAUGUUGGAAAAAGUUAUUUCAUUGAGCUAAUCAACCGGAGCAUGAUUAUACCAUCAAGAGUGAAUGUGGAAGGAACCGUUAAGAGCUGUCGAGUCCAUGAUAUCAUGCGUGAUGUCAUGGUUUCAGUUGCUAGAGAUGAAAAUUUUGUGUACUUGACCGCGGACGAUAAUUUAACUAGUGUGACAGAGGAGAAUUUUCGUCAUGUAUCAUACCAUGGUAGAAAGUUCCUAAAGGAAUGCAUAGAUUGGAGGCAUGUCCGGUCAUUAACUAUGUUUGGUGAGAGACCCAUAGAGCCACCAGCUCCCCCUUUUUCACCUAGCACGGGAAUGCUUAGAGUCCUGGAUCUACAUGGUGCACAUUUCAGAAUCACAAAGAAAGAUAUCAAGGACAUAGGAUUGUUACGCCACUUGAAGUAUUUGAAUAUUGGAAGUGCUAAAGCAUAUUCAAAUAUUUAUAGAAUUCCGAGAUCUAUAGGAAAAUUAAAAGGUUUGCAGACUUUGGAGAUAAGAAUGACAGAUAUAUCAACGAUACCAAAUGAGAUUUGUAACCUUCAGAGUCUCCGUAGCAUCCGGUGUAAGAAAACACAUUGGUGGUCCUAUCUUGGUCUUCAGCCCUCUAUGGGGUGCUUGAUGGACAUGAUGUAUCAUCAGAUGAUUACUCGUAAUUCUCAUGAAAAAGCUUUGAAGCCACGCAUGCCUUGCUUUAGGCAUUGGUCAAUAUACAAAGGUGUAAGUGUGCCGAGAGGGAUUAGCAAGUUACAAGAGUUACAAACACUAGAGGUUGUGGACAUCAAACGGAGUGAUGCCAAUGCAAUUAAAGAGCUAGGUGAGCUUGUGCAGCUAAAAAAACUUGGGGUGGUAACGAAAGAGGCCACCGAGCAAAAAUGCAAGUUGCUUUGUGCAGCUAUCGAGAAGUUCACUUCCCUGUGCUCUCUUAAUGUGGAUGCGGACAAUCAUGGCUCUCUCGAGUGGCUGCAUUCUGUUUCCUCUCCCCCCUACCCAUGA
rnacentral:rRNA from 1 species